GAAUGGUAAGAAUGUUUUUCUUGGCCGUAACGCAACAGAAACGAACCAAGGUUGUUUCUUAGGGUAAAAAUGGGCGAACAAUUUUGACUUCAACUUUAUUAUGUGCUGAGAAACUUGUGCCUCCGGGAAUUAAAUGCACAAUAUCGGAAGGUGUUACGCAGGGAUGGGACGGAAUGAAUCCUUGUAAAACAUUAAGCUUUAAACAUUCCUAAAUUGUGUCGAGCAAAUGACACACAAACUCACAUGCACAAAUCCAUGAAUCCUGUUUUUGUUCAAACAUACUAAACCACCCAUAAAACAAUGACUAGGAAAAAAAAACGUACGCUGUUUCAAUUUGCGUUUGACAAAGAGGAUGUAAUGUUACAAUGUCUUUUAAAUGAAGACGCGUUUUUGUCAUGGGACAAAAAAAGUGACUAAACGCGAAGAUGAAGUAAAUUGGGUAAGGAAUUCAAUACAUACCAUCUAGGAGGCUUUGUUUGUGCAGAUUCUUUUUCCUUACGUUUCAAUAAAGGCAUUUCUGAAUUGGUUCCAGCCAUCUAAUUUUAUUGUAAAGAGUCUUAGUGUAAUGAAUACUAAGUGUUACCCAGAAGGAUGCAGAUAUGUCUUUUUUCGACCCUGCAACGGAAUCAGUGGUGGAUUUCUAAAUAAAUAGAAACUAUGACACGUUCUUGAAGCAUGUUUAAUUAUGUAAAAAGAUCAUGGCUUAAAACAUUAAAGGAUAGCUUAAAUUACUUUUGAUUUUGUCUUACUAAAAAAUCCACAGAUGACGCAUUGAAUGAAUCUUUUUCAAUGUUUGGAACGCCUUGAUUUGCGAAGAGAAACUUGUGAAUUUCUUCUUGAGACUCUUCUUGCUGUUUUAAGUGUAUUUUCUGUCCAUCAAGACAAAAGAAUACUGUUCCAUAUGCCACUCAUGUAAACGUCGCUCAUACUGUUCUUUCUGAACGGCCAAAUUUUCCAUUAAACAGUUACGGCAGUAAAUAUACCCUAAAAACUUGCCAUGAAAGUUAACUUUGUAGGAUUUUUCAUAGGUGCUUAUAAACAGUAAAGCCUAAUCUCUUACCUUGUAACG